CCCUUAGACACUCUAGGCGGCACGCGCGCUACAAUGGGUGGAAGACUGUGUUUUGCCCUCGAAAGAGGGGGUGAAUCACGAAUUCUUACCCGUGAAUGGGAUAGUUUGUUGCAAUUUUCGGACUUGAACUAGGAAUCCCUUGUAAGCAUGCUCAAGAAUAGUGUGCUGAAUACGUCCCUGCCCUUUGUACACACCGCCCGUCGCUCCUACCGAUCGAAGAGUUAGGUGAAUUGUUUUGAUCGAUAAGAUUUGACUAUGGUCAACUCUCGUUGUGAAAUUCUGUGAAUCUGACUGUUUAGAGGAAGGAGAAGUCGUAACA
rnacentral:rRNA from 1 species